UUCACUGGUCAGACGGGUCUGUCCUCUAGUGUCCCUCGAGACAGGGCUUCACUGGCCAGGUGGGUCUGUCCUCUAGUGUCCCCCCUAGACAGGGCUUCACUGGUCAGAUGGGUCUGUCCUCUAGUGUCCCUCGAGACAGGGCUUCACUGGCCAGGUGGGCCUGUCCUCUAGUGUCCCCCCUAGACAGGGCUUCACUGGUCAGACGGGUCUGUCCUCUAGUGUCCCUCGAGACAGGGCUU